rnacentral:rRNA from 1 species
CCCAGCACUGAAUCCCGUCGUUGUAACGGCGGCGGGAGAUGUGGUGUUCGGGAGGUUCCGCUUUCUUGUCGUCGUCCACUCCUGUCCAAGUUCGUCUUGAACGGGGCCCAUUUCCCAUAGAGGGUGCCAGGCCCGUAGCGACGGAGGACGGCGGCGAGAGGGACUCUCCUCAGAGUCGGGUUGCUUGAGAGUGCAGCCCUAAGUGGGUGGUAAACUCCAUCUAAGGCUAAAUAUUACCGCGAGACCGAUAGCGAACAAGUACCGU